GGAUGUGAGGGCCUAACUGGCUGCAACAUCUGUCACCCCAUUGACCGCCAGGUUGAUUCGGCUGAUCUGGCUGGCUAGGUGGGUGUCCCCUUCCUCCCUCACCACUCCAUGUAUGCCCCCCCCCCCGAAGCUGCGUGCUUAGUUGAAGAGGACGGCCUUCCCCCAAUAGAGAUGGACCAGUCUUCAGUAAAGGGUAUACAAGUAGCUGCGCUCCCCUGCUAGAACCUCUAAACAAGCUCUAAAGGAGCAGUGCAGAGAAGUCUUGUGUACCCUUUAUCCAGUUUCUCCAAUAGAAAGUAGAA
rnacentral:snRNA from 1 species